rnacentral:tRNA from 1 species
GGGGUUGUGGCUCAGCGGUAGAGCACUCACCUUGCACGUGAGAGGCCCUGGGUUCGAUUCUCAGCACCACA